rnacentral:rRNA from 1 species
GUGUCAGCAGCCGCGGUAAUACAGAGGUCCCAAGCGUUGUUCGGAUUUACUGGGCGUAAAGGGUGCGUAGGUGGCGAGGUAAGUCGGAUGUGAAAUCUCCAGGCUCAACCUGGAAACGGCAUUGGAAACUACCUUGCUGGAGGAUCGGAGGGGGGACUGGAAUACUUGGUGUAGCAGUGAAAUGCGUAGAUAUCAAGUGGAACACCAGUGGCGAAGGCGAGUCCCUGGACGAUUCCUGACGCUGAGGCACGAAAGCUAGGGGAGCAAACAGGAUUAGAUACCCCUGUAGUCC